CGGCAACAGCUCAAAUUUGAAAUCUGGCCCUCUCAGGGUCCGAGUUGUAAUUUGCAGAGGUGGCUUCGGAGCCGCACCGGCCUAAGUUCCUUGGAACAGGACGUCACAGAGGGUGAGAAUCCCGUACGUGGCUAGGUGCCUAUCCAUGUGUAGCCCCUUCGAC
rnacentral:rRNA from 1 species